rnacentral:rRNA from 1 species
AUUGAACGCUGGCGGCAGGCCUAACACAUGCAAGUCGAACGAGUGGCGGACGGGUGAGUAAUGUCUGGGAAACUAGCUUAUGGAGGGGGAUAACUACGGGAAACUGUAGCUAAUACCGCGUACCAUCGGAUGUGCCCAAGUGGGAUUAGGUAGUUGGUGGGGUAACGGCUCACCAAGGCGACGAUCCCUAGCUGGUCUGAGAGGAUGAUCAGUCACACUGGAACUGAGACACGGCCCAGACUCCUACGGGAGGCAGCAGUGGGGAAUAUUGGGCAAUGGGCGAAAGCCUGACGCAGCCAUGCCGCGUGAGUGAAGAAGGCCUUCGGGUUGUAAAGCUCUUUCGGUAGGGAGGCGUUACCAACAGAAGAAGCACCGGCUAACUCCGUGCCAGCAGCCGCGGUAAUAC